rnacentral:rRNA from 1 species
AACGCGAAGAACCUUACCUACCCUUGACAUGCCAGGAAGCUUGCCGAGAGGUGAGUGUGCCCGAAAGGGAGCCUGGACACAGGUGCUGCAUGGCUGUCGUCAGCUCGUGUCGUGAGAUGUUGGGUUAAGUCCCGCAACGAGCGCAACCCUUGUCACUAGUUGCUACGCAAGGGCACUCUAGUGAGACUGCCGGUGACAAACCGGAGGAAGGUGGGGAUGACGUCAAGUCCUCAUGGCCCUUAUGGGUAGGGCUUCACACGUCAUACAAUGGCGCAUACAGAGGGCUGCCAACCCGCGAGGGGGAGCCAAUCCCAGAAAGUGCGUCGUAGUCCGGAUUGCAGUCUGCAACUCGACUGCAUGAAGUCGGAAUCGCUAGUAAUCGCGGAUCAGCAAUGUCGCGGUGAAUACGUUCCCGGGCCUUGUA